rnacentral:snRNA from 1 species
AAGGCUCGCUUCGGCGGGUCGA